rnacentral:rRNA from 1 species
CCAGACUCCUACGGGAGGCAGCAGUGAGGGAUAUUGGGCAAUGGGGGAAACCCUGACCCAGCGACGCCGCGUGAGGGAAGACGGUCUUCGGAUUGUAAACCUCUGUCUUUGGGGACGAAAAAGGACGGUACCCAAGGAGGAAGCUCCGGCUAACUACGUGCCAGCAGCCGCGGUAAUACGUAGGUGGCAAGCGUUAUCCGGAUUUACUGGGUGUAAAGGGCGUGUAGGCGGGACUGCAAGUCAGAUGUGAAAACCAUGGGCUCAACCCAUGGCCUGCAUUUGAAACUGUAGUUCUUGAGUGUUGGAGAGGCAGGCGGAAUUCCGUGUGUAGCGGUGAAAUGCGUAGAUAUACGGAGGAACACCAGUGGCGAAGGCGGCCUGCUGGACAAUAACUGACGCUGAGGCGCGAAAGCGUGGGGAGCAAACAGGAUUAGAUACCCGAGUACG